AAUUCAAAGAGGAAAUAUCGUGAAAGCCUCCUCUCAAGUCUCAAUAGUUAAGGCAAAAGGAAAACCACACAUUCUGUCUCAAUUCCUUGCCGUCUCCCUUCCUUCCUCGUUGACUUGCCGUUUACCGGGGGGACUUUGCGCCGUUCACUCUGCAGUUUUCAUUCGUCAUCCGCUAUUCUCACUGCUUCAGGUCUCGUUGUUAUUCUGUAGCUAGGCAGACAUAAUUGAGGAAAUCCUGGGAUACAAAAGCUUCAGAAUACAAGCUUCAAACCAACGGUCAUAGAUCAUAAUGGUUGUUCUCUCUGAACUUUGUGAAGGAUCUUCAUCUUCUUCAUCAACUCAAGCUCAUAGAUAUGACGUAUUUUUAAGUUUCAGAGGUGUUGACACUCGUCAUGGUUUCACUAAUCACCUUUACAAUGCACUCAUGCAUGCCAAUAUUAGUACCUUCUUUGAUGAUGAAGAGAUUGAAACAGGGGAAGAUUUGAAACCAGAAUUGGAAUAUGCCAUUAAAUCAUCUAGGGCUUCUGUUAUCGUGUUGUCCAAAAAUUAUGCUACUUCCACAUGGUGUCUUGAUGAACUGGUGUUGAUCCUUGAGCAACGUAUGAAAUCCAAUCAUAUUGUCAUCCCCAUCUUUUAUCAUGUUGAGCCCACCAAUGUCAGGAAGCAACAAAGUAGCUUCGGAGAUGCAAUGGCUAAGCAUAAACAGAAGAUGGAGGUAGAGACAAAUUCAACUAAAAGAAAUCAAUGGGUUCAAAAGAUAGAGCUUUGGAAUAAAGCGCUUAGAGAAGUUGCUGACUUAAAAGGGAAGGAUGCAAACGGCAGGCAAGAGGUGGAGUUAAUUGAUGAAAUUGUGAAGGACAUCUUCCGUAGAUUAUGUGUAUCGUCCAGGUUUCCACUACCACAACUUAUUGGGAUGGAAAACUCCAUUGAACUUGUCACUUCGUGGUUGAAAGAUGCAACAUCCCAUACGACAGAUAUACUCACUAUUUUGGGUAUGGGUGGGAUCGGGAAGACGUCUUUAGCGAAAUAUGUCUAUGUGCUACAUUCUCAUGAAUUUGACAACAGCAGCUUCAUUGCAGAUAUCAAUAGGCGAUGUUAUACAAAAUAUAAUGGGAUGAUUGAUGUACAAAAACAACUCUACAAUGACAUCUCCAAACCAAGUUCAGUUCAAGUUCAUGAUGUUUCUGUAUACACCUCAAUGAUUGAGAAUGCAUUAGCCCGUAAAAAGGUGUUUCUAGUUCUUGAUGAUAUUGGUAGUAUCGAUCAGCUAGAUGCGUUACUUGGAAGCAAAGGUUUUCACCCAGGAAGCAAAAUUCUAAUAACAACAAAGGAUGCAUGGUUGACACAGAGUAGUUUACCAUUCAAAACGAACAUUAAACCCAACUAUACAGAGCACAAGCUUAGAGGCUUAUCUACUAUUGAAGCACGAAAACUUUUGUGUUUUCAUGCAUUCAUGUGCAACAAGCCCAAGGCAGGUUAUGAAGAGGUGUCAGAAAAACUUGUGAAGUAUUGUGACGGACAUCCAAUGGCUCUUAAAGUUUUGGGUAGGUCUCUACAUAAUCGAGAUGUAACUUAUUGGGAGGGGUACAUAGACACGCUAAAGAAAGAAAAUAAUUCCCCUAUAAAUAAUGUCUUGAGAAUGAGCUUUGACUCUUUGUCAUCAGAAAAUGACAAGGACUUGUUUAAGCAUAUUUCUUGUUUUUUUGUUGGAAUGGAUAAAAAUGAUACUCUAACAAUAUUAGAGGCGUGCGAUAUAGAAACAAAAACUGGAAUCACGAAUCUUAUCGACAAAUGCCUUCUUAAUAUCGGAUGGUAUAAUGAAUUGACGAUGCAUCAGUUGGUUCAAGAGAUGGGAAGAUUUGUGGUACGUGAAGAAUCACUUAGCUGUCCAUGGGAACGAAGUCGAUUAUGGGGUCAUGAGUCAUUUAGAGUGUUAAAUCAAGAAAUGGGUACGAAAAAUGUUCUAGGCCUCACCCUUGACAUGAAAAUUCUUGAGAACAAGAGGAUACGUGGAUCACUUGAGUUGAAAACGGAUGCAUUAAGUAUGAUGGAUAGGCUAAUGCUACUACAACUUAAUUAUGUGCAGACCAAUGGCUCCUACGAGAAAUUUCCAAAAGAAUUAAGAUGGUUGUGUAUGCAUGGGUUCCCUUGGAAGUCUAUACCCUCAGACUUACCAAUGGAGAAUGUAGUUGCUCUUGACAUGUCACAUAGCAAUAUUGAAUCAUUUGGGAUUUUUUAUAGCUAUCCACAACGACUUCAUAAGCGACUCAAGAAAUUGAUUGGAUCAUGCUCGGAUGAUAAAAGGUUGCUUGGAUCGUUGAAGAUUCUUAAUUUAAGUUUCUGUGAACAACUUCGCAGGCUUGGUGGCUUUGAUCACCUCCCUAAACUAGAGAAAUUAAUACUUAAUUGUUGCACCAGUUUGCUUGAGGUUUGUGAAUCAAUUGAGGAAUGUGUUGAACUUGUCCAUGCUGAUCUAAGCUACUGCAACAAGCUUGGUAAACUUCCAAGAAUCAUAGGCAUGUUAAAAAAGGUUAAUACAUUAUUGCUAGAGGGAUGUGCUCUUGGUGAAUCUCGAAUCAAGGUUAACAAUAUUGGCAUAAACUCAAUAACAUCUUCCUCUACCAUUGUGGGGGCUAUGCCAAGUUAUUCAAAGUUCUUUGCAAUUUCAUUACCAAGAUACUUAGUAAGCCUGUCACUUGAGAAUAAUAAUUUGUCCACUGAAUCUUUUCCGGUGGACUUUAGUUGCCUAACCAUGUUAAAGGAGUUACAUCUAGAUGAAAAUCCUAUUGUUUCCCUGCCCUUUUGUGUGAGAAGCCUUCCUAGGCUUCAGAUACUUGGCAUGUCAAAUUGUAAUAUGCUGACAACAAUAGAGAAUCCUCCACCUACAUUAAAGUAUUUAAGUCUAUAUUUUGGCUCUAGUUGUAAUCGUUUGCUACGAAAAGUUGUAUUUGAUCCACAAAUGUCCCCACUCAUGUUCAUAUUCGGCUCCGAGAUGUUUUCAACUUCGUCGUUUGAAUUUGAAGGCAUUGUCAAAAUCCAACCAGUGGCAGAUGUUGAGGAAAAGGUAUUACAUUGUUUGGGCUGGACUAACCUAGACUUCCUUAUUGGAAUGUGCGUUGGAGCUUAUCUUGAUGAUAGAAGAGAGGAAUCUGAAAUCCAGAUGUAUUAUGAAUUUGGAAUAUUCAGCACAAUUUAUUGGAGUAAAGAGAUGCCGAAUUGGAUUACAGAUAGAAGCAUGGGGUCAUCGAUAUCAUUUACCAUCCCAUCAUCACCAAACAAUCUCACAGGAUUAAAUUGCUGCUGUAUGGUGACAUCUCCAUUUACCGAGGAUGUUCAUCUUGAGGUGCCAUUGAUGAAAAUUACUAAUAUAACAAAGAAUCUCACCUGGAUAUACCAACAUUAUGUUGGCAGUGUACUUGAUGUCGGUGGAAAGAGUUUGAUGUUGUUAAGCCAUUGGAUGUUUGGGAUGAAUGAGAUGGAAUGUGGUGAUCACGUUACUAUUACUGUUACCAUUAGGGAGAAUCCAGAUGUUAUUGGUAAUGCAGUUGCUAAGGAGUGUGGGGUGAGUUUUGUUUAUGAUAAUGAAAGUAAGGAUGAAGAAGAAGAUGCAUUGGGUUAUUACAAGUCAUGGAAUCACAUCAUUGGUGGAGAUCUCACUGCAUUUCAAACGACAACAGGAGAAUACAUCUUAAGCAAAUGGCGAAUUCUAGCUCCAUACAUGGAUCUAGGUAUGUGUGGAGAUGGAACCCUCUUUAAAGAUGAGCAAGUGCACUUUAGAGCUCUCUCUCAAAGGAAGUCUAACAUACUGGAGGAUGGCCCUUAAGGUGGCAGUGAAGGCUACGCUUUGUGACUCCAAAGACGUUACCCUUUGUGUUGGUCUGUUACAUGGCAGACAUUCGCAUCAACACAACAAUUAAUCAACGAAUUAAUCAAUUACACCCAAAAAGCCGAUCGUACCUGUAAACAAUGUGAAAAAAGGGGGGAGGUGGAAGCGGCCGGAGGCCGGAGGAGGAGGCUGCGUCGGUGUCGUCGACCGGAGACCAGAGGCGGAGCUGUGUCGGAAGAAGCGGUGUGGAGUCAAAGACUUUGUGUUGUUGAUGAGUCAUGUUGCGUUCGUCUUGUGAAAAGUAACCACGUAUCAACAGAAAAGGGAACGCGGUCAAAAUCGGAACAUUCGAUUCAAUUUUGACUUUUGGGUCAAAAGAAUGAAUAAGAAUUGUUGUUGCUUUUAACAAGCCAGUUAGGAAUUGAAGAGCUUGGAAGAAUUCCUCAAGUUUGACCGGGAAUAUAACCAGGUUUACUUACAACAUUCUAAUUAUUUUUUUCUUUCAAGAACUUUGGAUUAUUGGAGUAUUAAUUAAUCUCUUGUCCCCUCAACCACUAGUGUCUUACAAAUACCGUAAGAAUUACCUCUAUGCAGAUGUCCAAAUCAGUAUUGCACGGUUGACGUCGCAAUGGGUAUGCAAUCUAUUAAUGAAGCGUAUUAGAAAAUGGAUAGCUCUGUACUUGAUUUCAAAUUGAGCCGUAUUAGAUCUAGGUUUUAACUAUAUUAGAUUUCAAGCUAAUAA